GAUCAUUGUGAGUAUAAGGCAACUGAGUGGCUUAAGGGUUGACUAGGAUAUGACAAAUGAAUCUGCCUUGAGGCUAUGCUUAGGCAAGAGAAGAUCAAAGUUCAUUACUGUUAAAGAGUCAUUGAAUUCUCACAAUGAAUUGCAUCAGAUUUACAAUUUUUCUGGUUUGUGGAUGUAGAACAUAAUUUUGUCAUUGAUUGAAAUAGAUUGUAAGUUGCAAAGGUAAUAGUGACAACAAAAAACAUUCCAG
rnacentral:misc_RNA from 1 species